CCUGCAGGCGGAAAGCCACGCUGCCGGGCGAGAAGCCUGGGCCAAAGAAAGAUGACGACGUUUCCAGCCAGCAAGACGCCGCUGAACCCUCAGGUACUAGGACCCCGAGCCUGCCGAGCGACUCGGUGCGGAGGCCCUGGGAGAAGAACAGCUCCACCCUGCCCAGG